rnacentral:rRNA from 1 species
GACGAACGCUGGCGGCGUGCUUAACACAUGCCAGUCGAACGGAAAGGCCUGCUUUCCCUUGUGGAUUGCGGGUACUCGAGUGGCGAACGGGUGGGUAACACGUGAGUGAUCUGCCCCCAACUUGGGUAUAAGCCUGGGAAACUGGGUCUAAUUCCCGAUAGGACUGCAGGGUGGUGCCUGUGGUGGAAAACGAUUUUCUAGUGGUUGGGGAUGAGCUCGCGGCCUAUCAGCUUGUUGGUGGGGUAAUGGCCUACCAAGGCGGCGACGGGUAGCCGGCCUGAGAGGGUGGACGGCCACAUUGGGACUGAGAUACGGCCCAGACUCCUACGGGAGGCAGCAGUGGGGAAUAUUGCACAAUGGGCGGAAGCCUGAUGCAGCGACGCCGCGUGGGGGAUGACGGCCUUCGGGUUGUAAACUCCUUUCGACCGCGAGGAAGCCACCUGGUUGGAAGGGUGGUGACGGUAGUGGUAGAAGAAGCACCGGCUAACUACGUG